CGCGUAGUUAGCCGUGACUUUCUCACAGGGUACCGUCACUGUCUUCUUCCCCUGCGACAACAGUUUACAAUCCGAAGACCUUCUUCCUGCACGCGGCGUUGCUGCGUCAGGGUUGCCCCCAUUGCGCAAUAUUCCCCACUGCUGCCUCCCGUAGGAGUCUGGGCCGUGUCUCAGUCCCAAUGCGGCCGAUCAACCUCUCAGUUCGGCUACAGAUCGUCGCCUUGGUGAGCCGUUACCUCACCAACCAGCUAAUCUGACGCGAGUCCAUCCAUAAGCGAUAAAUCUUUCAAAAUUCUAUGAUGCCAUAAAUUUCAAUAUGCGGUACUAGUCCUCGUUUCCAAGGAUUACUCCCCCUCUUAUGGGCAGGUUACUCACGCGUUACUCGCCCGUCCGCCACUUUCCACCCAACACGUUCCACCCCGAAGGGAUCACAAAUGGGUUUCUCGUUCGACUUGCAUGUGUUAGGCACGCCGCCAGCGUUCGUCCUGACGCCAGGACUCGAACUC
rnacentral:rRNA from 1 species